CACCUCUUAGGCUCGCACCUGGAGAGUUUCCAGUACUCUGCCAGUCUCGACUACGGGAGGGAUAGUCAACCAGAGACCUGUCCAUUCCAUUUCUAGCUUGGGCAGUGGCUAGCUAGUGGAAGGCAAUCUGCUACAAGU